rnacentral:rRNA from 1 species
AGAAUCAACGCUGGCGGCGUGCCUAACACAUGCAAGUCGAACGAGAAAGUGGAGCAAUCCAUGAGUAAAGUGGCGCACGGGUGAGUAACACGUGACUAACCUACCCUUGAGUGGGGGAUAACCUAGGGAAACCUGGCUAAUACCGCAUAAUACCUUCGGGUCAAAGGAGCAAUUCGCUUAAGGAGGGGGUCGCGGCCGAUUAGUUAGGUUGGCGGGGUAAUGGCCCACCAAGACUGUGAUCGGUAU